rnacentral:rRNA from 1 species
GUCCUUUAGGGUUGAUUUAAAGGUCUAGCCUGCCCAGUGAUUAUUUAAAUGGCCGCAGUAUAUUGACUGUGCGAAGGUAGCAUAAUCAUUAGUUUUUUAAUUGAAAGCUAGUAUGAAUGGUUGGACGAAAUAAUUACUGUCUCUAUUUAGAUAGUAGAAUUUAAUUUUUAAGUUAAAAAGCUUAAAUUGGAGUAAAAGACGAGAAGACCCUAUAGAUCUUUAUAUUAGGUUUUUAAUUUUAUUAAGUUAUUUAAUUGAUUAGGGGUGUUAAUAUUUUAUUGGGGUAAUAGGAAGAUUAAAAUAAUUCUUUUUUUAUGGUAACAAUAAUAAUUGAAUUGGUGAUCCGCUGGUUGUGAUUGUAAGAUUAAGUUACCUUAGGGAUAACAGCGUAAUUUUUUUGGAGAGUUCUUAUUUAUAAAAAAGUUUGCGACCUCGAUGUUGGAUUAAAAAUUAACCUAGGUGCAGAAGUUUGGGGGUUUGGUCUGUUCGACCAUUAAAUUUUU